GAUGAACGCUGGCGGCGUGCUUAACACAUGCAAGUCGAACGAAGCUGCUUAAAGGAAGUCUUCGGAUGGAAUUUAGGUAGACUUAGUGGCGGACGGGUGAGUAACGCGUGGAUAACCUGCCUUAUACAGGGGGAUAACGGAGAGAAAUUUCCGCUAAGACCGCAUAAGACCACAGCACCGCAUGGUGUAGGGGUAAAAUAUUUAUAGGUAUAAGAUGGAUCCGCGUCCGAUUAGCUAGUUGGUGAGGUAAAGGCCCACCAAGGCGACGAUCGGUAGCCGGCCUGAGAGGGUGAACGGCCACAUUGGGACUGAGACACGGCCCAAACUCCUACGGGAGGCAGCAGUGGGGAAUAUUGGACAAUGGGGGAAACCCUGAUCCAGCGACGCCGCGUGAGUGAAGAAGUAUUUCGGUAUGUAAAGCUCUAUCAGCAGGGAAGAAAAUGGCGGUACUUGACUAAGAAGCCCCGGCUAACUACGUGCCAGCAGCCGCGGUAAUACGUAGGGGGCAAGCGUUAUCCGGAUUUACUGGGUGUAAAGGGAGCGCAGACGGCAAUGCAAGUCUGAAGUGAAAGGCGUGGGCUCAACCCAUGAACUGCUUUGGAAACUGUAUAGCUUGAGUGUCGGAGGGGUAAGCGGAAUUCCUAGUGUAGCGGUGAAAUGCGUAGAUAUUAGGAGGAACACCGGAGGCGAAGGCGGCUUACUGGACGACAACUGACGUUGAGGCUCGAAGGCGUGGGGAGCAAACAGG
rnacentral:rRNA from 1 species